CGGGGGCAGAGUGGGCGUCUCGCCUGUGCUCACGAAACAAAGAAGCCGCCGCUGCUGCCGCCGAGCAAUGAUGUUAUGCAGCUCCUCUGCUCUGAUGGAGACUAUGGUCUAGAGAAAUAUACAAAGAACAUGAGCCUGAUCUAUGCAUUGCUUCCCAAAUUCACCAGGUAAGCAAAAUGCCAAAGAGGCAGUAUUCAAAACACAAGCCUGGAGAAUCUCCUGGGGAUUCGGAGGCAUUCUAAGGUGGAGCUCUGGAAUUUUUCACAAAAAGUGCCCAAGGUGGGUCUUACCAUCUAGAAAGUCUGUGAAGAGCCGUGGAAGCAGUGAUUUCAGUGGGGCAAAUCCACAGACUCGCCUCUACCCUAUCUGUUUGCCAAAACUCAGAGAAGGCAGGGGUACUUCCAACAAGGAACUUCCCAGCUAUUUUGGCCACAUGAUUAAAAUGACCUUUUUUAAAAUUCUAGAUGUAAGCAUGUGCUAGAAGAUAUAUUUUCAAUGUGGCCUUCAGAAUCCCCUAGGGGGUCCAUUAACACACAAAUCACUAGGCCCCAACCACAGAGCCUCUGAUUCAGCAGGUUUGGGACGCGACCUGAGAACCUACAUUGCUGGCAAACUCCUGGAGGAUGCUGUCACUGCUGGGGGCUGCGGGUUGUAUUUGGUGAUGAAAUCCUGUCAAGAUUCAGCCUGUUGUCAUCCUGGUGUCCUUUUCGUGGGUGAGGCAAAUGAGCCCAGAGUUUAAGAUACUUGAACUAGAUCACACGUCAGGGCAGGGUCUGUAAACCCAGAUCUGGUCUGGUCGCUGAGAGGAGAUUCCAGAAUGAUAUUAAGGCAUUGACUCAAGUGAUUAUGGAGACUGGCAAGUCCAAAAUUGGCAGGCCAGAAACUCGGGAAGAGCUAAUGCCGCAGUUUAAGCUCCAAGGCCAUCUG